CAAUAGGGAAAGCUUGCUUUUUCUAGGCGUCGACCGGCGCACGGGUGAGUAACGCGUAUCCAACCUGCCCAUCACUUGGGGAUAACCUUGCGAAAGUAAGACUAAUACCCAAUGAUAUCUCAAGAAGACAUCUGAAUGAGAUUAAAGAUUUAUCGGUGAUGGAUGGGGAUGCGUCUGAUUAGCUUGUUGGCGGGUAACGGCCCACCAAGGCGACGAUCAGUAGGGGUUCUGAGAGGAAGGUCCCCCACAUUGGAACUGAGACACGGUCCAAACUCCUACGGGAGGCAGCAGUGAGGAAUACUGGUCAAUGGGCGAGAGCCUGAACCAGCCAAGUAGCGUGCAGGAAGACGGCCCUAUGGGUUGUAAACUGCUUUUAUAAGGGAAUAAAGUGAGCCUCGUGAGGCUUUUUGCAUGUACCUUAUGAAUAAGGACCGGCUAAUUCCGUGCCAGCAGCCGCGGUAAUACGGAAGGUCCGGGCGUUAUCCGGAUUUAUUGGGUUUAAAGGGAGCGUAGGCCGGAGAUUAAGCGUGUUGUGAAAUGUAGAUGCUCAACAUCUGCACUGCAGCGCGAACUGGUUUCCUUGAGUACGCACAAAGUGGGCGGAAUUCGUGGUGUAGCGGUGAAAUGCUUAGAUAUCACGAAGAACUCCGAUUGCGAAGGCAGCUCACUGGAGCGCAACUGACGCUGAAGCUCGAAAGUGCGGGUAUCGAACAGGAUUAGAUACCCUGGUAGUCCGCACGGUAAACGAUGGAUGCCCGCUGUUGGUCUGAAUAGGUCAGCGGCCAAGCGAAAGCAUUAAGCAUCCCACCUGGGGAGUACGCCGGCAACGGUGCAACUCAAAUGAAUUGACGG
rnacentral:rRNA from 1 species